UUUUUUUUUUUUUUUCUGAGUUAUAUCCUUUUGUAAUAAACUGAUAAUAUAGUAAAUACAGUGUUUCCUUCAUUUCUGUGAACCUCUCUAGUGAAUUAAUUAAACCCAGGGAAUAGGUGCUCAUGGGACCUCCCCCAUCUGUGGCCUGUUGGUCAGAAGCACCCGUGACAACCUAGACUUGUAAGGGUAGCUGAAGUGUGGGGGGGGCCACAGUUUUGUGGGACUGAGCUCUUAACCUGUGGGAUCUGAUGACCAGGUAGACGGUGUCAGAAUUGCUAGAAUUGCUUGUUGAUGUCGGGAAUAAACCCAUACAUCAGAAAUGUAUGCAUGCACUUGAGCAUGACAGAUGGGGGAAUAGCAAGGAAGCUAGUGUGCUAGAGCAGAGUGUGAGGAGUGGUAGAGAAGUAGCCUGGGAGAUCAGACAAAAUUACAAAAAGUCUUGUAGGUCAUUGGAAUGAUUGAGCUUGUUCUUUGAGGGACAUGGGAGCUAUUGGAGCAGAGGAGUGAGUUGAUAUGACCUGUGUUGAUAACAAAGUGAAUGAGACAACUGCAGAGCAGGGUGGCCAGUUGGGAGGACAGUGGCAGAGGUUGCGGAUGAUAGUGGCUUAUACCUGGCUGAGCUGUAGAGACGAUGAGAAGUAGUCAUAUUCUAGAUAUAUUUUGAAGCUAGAACCAAUAGGGAUAAGGUUUCUUGAAGGAAUGAAUAUCAUUCUUUUUUUAAAAAUUUUUAUUUAUUUAUGAUAGUCACACAGAGCACACAGAGAGAGGCAGAGACACAGGCAGAGGGAGAAGCAGGCUCCAUGCACCAGGAGCCCGACGUGGAAUUCGAUCCCAGGUCUCCAGGAUCACGCCCUGGGCCAAAGGCAGGCGUCAAACCGCUGCGCCACCCAGGGUUCCCAAUGAAUAUCAUUCUUGAAGGAGUGAGAGUUAAAACUAUGAAAUUCCUUUUUAAAAAAUUUAUUUUUGAGUAAUUUGUACACCCAGAAUGGGGCUUGAACUCACAACCCUGAAAUCGAGUCGCACGCUCUACCAUCUAGUCAGAGCCAUCUAGUCUCACUGGCUCUCCAGUGAGACAGUCUGGUGCUCCAAAACUAUGAAAUUUUUGGCCUAAGUAACUAAAGGAGGAAGAGAUCAAGAGUUGGGUUUUGGACAUGUUGAGAUGUCUGUUAGACCCCCUGGUCAAGAUGUCAGGUAUGUAUGUGGUUAUGUGUGAGUCUGGGGUUUGGAGAGCAGUCAGGGCUAGAAGUGCAAAUUUGGAAGAGGGCACAUAGAUGGGAUUUAAAGCCAUGAAGUUGGAUGAGAUCACCCAGAGAUCUGAGUAUAGAUAAAGAAGAAAUAAUGACAAAAAAGAGGAACCUGCAAAUGAGACUGAGGAGGAAUGCCCAGAGACAAGAGGAGGCACUCUUACUGGUCAGACUUCUUAGGGAGUCUGUUCUUUUAAUCCCCCAAACAGGAGACUUUUUGAUCUACAAGAAUCUGUGUUUUUCAUUGUUGUCUUCAUCGUCAUCAUCACUGUCAUCAUCACCAAAAACAUCUACUAUUUGUCAAGUUCCCACUGUGUGUUAGAUAACUGAGGACUACACAGACAUGUAGUCCCCUGCCCCCCUUGCCUUUAAGGACAGCACAGAAUGAAAAUUGUGCCUGUGCACUGGCUGCCAUAGGGGACCUGUGGAGGGAAGGAGCACCUGGGACAGGACAUGGAAGAGUGUGCCUUCCCCCUUGAACCACAGCUCUGUCUUCUUUUUACUGCUCAACUUCUGUGACAUGGUCUGUUUCCUCACCUCCCACUUCCCGGUACACUGCACCCUGAUUUCUGCUACAGUCACUCUCCCAUCAAAACAAGCACCACUGGGGGCCUCAUUUACCUCCAGGCUGCUCAUCUGAAGGCUGUUUGCCCCCCUACCCCUACCCCUACCCCAUCCUUAGCAGUUGUUGACCAUGGUGGGCAUUGAUUCCUUCCAGAAACCUGCUUCUGUAAAACCAUACUCUUAGUUUUCCUCUUAUUCUCUGGCAAGUCUUGCUCACUCUUCUUUUUUAAUCUUCAGCCUUAAGUGCUGGCUUAUUAGAGCUUCUUCCCUCUUUUCUUUGUAUAUAUUCUCUCACAGACAAGGUCAUCUAUAUCCCCCACAGUUUAACAAUCAUCUAGACAAUCACUGGCAAUAAUUCCAAAAUUCUGUCUCCAUUAAAGACUCUCAGGUGAGCUCCAGAUCUCUAUCAUCUCCACCUUUUAUCAUCUCCAUUCAGGUGUUUCUGUCUCUGAGACUCUUCAGGAGGGACCUCUCCCUCCCAGGUCUGGCUGAACUCUUUCCAGCUUUCCUGUCUUCCCAGACACACCUCUCAUUUCCCCUUCCCAGCUCCCUUUUCCCUUCAUCAAGCCCAUCUGCUUGGAUACCUCUUGCCACUAGCUCAGGAGAUGAGACUUCAUUCAAUAUGGUUCUGAAGGAAGGCAGAUACAUUAUGCUGGUGAAUUUAGGAAGCCAGAAGGUUCUGUUGGAGGCAAUUUGGCAGGGUGACCCAAUUUGGAUAUUUUUCUAAGGAAAAACGAUAGUUAAAAAAAAAAAAAAAAAAA
rnacentral:lncRNA from 1 species